AGCAUAAUCACUUGUUCUUUAAAUGGGGACUCGUAUCAACGGCAUCACGAGGGUUGUACUGUCUCCUUUCCCCAAUCAGUGAAACUGAUCUCUCCGUGAAGAAGCGGAGAUAAGCAUACAAGACGAGAAGACCCCAUGGAGCUUUAAACCCAGCAAUUACCUCUGUUCAAAAAUAUCCCCCUAGACAACGGAGUCCUAAAUGUCUGGUUUUGGGUUGGGGUGACCGCGGAGCACAAUUUAACCUCCACGAUGGAUGGGCUGACCCCCCUAAUCCAUGAGCUACACCUCUAAGAAUUAGUAAUCUAACAUAAACUGAUCCGAUCAUCGAUCAACGAACCAAGUUACCCUGGGGAUAACAGCGCAAUCCACUUACAGAGCCCCUAUCGACAAGUGGGUUUACGACCUCGAUGUUGGAUCAGGGUAUCCUAGUGGUGCAGCAGCUACUAAAGGUUCGUUUGUUCAACGAUUAAAACCCU
rnacentral:rRNA from 1 species